rnacentral:lncRNA from 1 species
UUAUCUUCACGACGUUAGAUUUUCUGUGGUGCAUCUUUGCAUCAUAAAAAAUGGUGCAUGCUUGGAUUGUCACUGCAUUGCCUAUCUCGUACAUUUAGCAUUACAACUUGGCUCUCCUUCCAUAAAAAAAUUUAGAAAUGGGCUAUAGAGCAAUGAUCUAAGCAUGCACCGUUCUUUGUCAUGCAAAAGGUGCAUCGUAAUUAGAACUGAAAAUAGAUCGGA